UACGGAGGGUGCGAGCGUUGUCCGGAAUCACUGGGCGUAAAGGGCGCGUAGGCGGCGCGGGAAGUCCGUGGUGAAAGCCCGAGGCUCAACUUCGGGUCGGCCAUGGAUACUCCUGGGCUCGAGCACUGUAGAGGCAGGUGGAAUUCCGGGUGUAGCGGUGGAAUGCGUAGAGAUCCGGAGGAACACCAAAGGCGAAGGCAGUGUCCUGGGGAGUACCUGACGCUCAGGUGCGAAAGCCAGGGGAGCGAACGGG
rnacentral:rRNA from 1 species